CGGGCGUCUUAACAUGCAAGUCGAGCGGAGUUUAUCCUUCGGGAUAAGCUUAGCGGCGGACGGGUGAGUAACACGUAGGCAACCUGCCCCUUAGCCUGGGAUAACUACCGGAAACGGUAGCUAAUACCGGAUAAUCCCUUUCCUCGCCUGAGGAAAGGAUAAAAGGCGGAGCAAUCUGCUGAUAAGGGAUGGGCCUGCGGCGCAUUAGCUAGUUGGUGAGGUAACGGCUCACCAAGGCGACGAUGCGUAGCCGACCUGAGAGGGUGAACGGCCACACUGGGACUGAGACACGGCCCAGACUCCUACGGGAGGCAGCAGUAGGGAAUCUUCCGCAAUGGGCGAAAGCCUGACGGAGCAACGCCGCGUGAGUGAUGAAGGUUUUCGGAUCGUAAAGCUCUGUUGCCAGGGAAGAACGUCCGGUAGAGUAACUGCUACCGGAGUGACGGUACCUGAGAAGAAAGCCCGGCUAACUAC
rnacentral:rRNA from 1 species